rnacentral:rRNA from 1 species
GACGAACGCUUGCGGCGUGCCUAAUGUAUGCAAGUCGAGCGGGUUUCCUUCCUUCGGGAGGGAAGCUAGCGGCGAACGGUUGAGUAACACGUAGGCAACCUGCCCCGAAGUCGGGAAUAACUCACCGAAAGGUGGGCUAAUACCGGAUGUGGAAGGCGAUCGCCUGGUCGCCUCUCUAAAGGUUUCGAUCGCUUCGGGAUGGGCCUGCGGCCUAUCAGCUUGUUGGUGGGGUAACGGCCUACCAAGGCGACGACGGGUAGCUGGUCUGAGAGGAUGGUCAGCCAGACAGGGACUGAGACACGGCCCUGACUCCUUUGGGGGCAGCAAUGAGGGAUAUUGCACAAUGGGGGCAACCCUGAUGCAGCGACGCCGCGUGGGUGACGAAGUCC